rnacentral:rRNA from 1 species
GCAAGGAGAGGGGCGGUGGAACUCCAUGUUGUAGCGGUAAAAUGCGUAGAUUAUUAUGGAAGAACACCAGUGGCGAAGGCGGCCGCCUGGCCUGUUGCUGACGCUGAGGCACGAAAGCGUGGGGAGCAAAUAGGAUUAGAUACCCUAGUAGUCCACGCCGUAAACGAUGAGGACCAAGUGUUGGGGGUGAAACCUCAGUGCUGAAGUUAACGCAGUGAGUCCUCCGCCUGGGGAGUAUGCACGCAAGUGUGAAACUCAAAGGAAUUGACGGGGGCCCGCACAAGCGGUGGAGUAUGUGGUUUAAUUCGAAGCAACGCGAAGAACCUUACCAGGCCUUGACAUGGGAUGCGAAGAUGCAGAGAUGCAUCGGAGGUCAACAUCCACACAGGUGGUGCAUGGUUGUCGUCAGCUCGUGUCGUGAGAUGUUGGGUCAAGUCCCGCAACGAGCGCAACCCUUGUGGCAUGUUGCUAACAGGAAAAGCUGAGGACUCAUGCCAGACUGCCGGUGACAAACCGGAGGAAGGCGGGGAUGACGUCAAAUCAUCAUGCCCCUUAUGGCCUGGGCUACACACGUACUACAAUGGCGGCUACAAAGAGCAGCGAGACAGGGAUGUCGAGCGAAUCUCAUAAAAGCCGUCCCAGUUCGGAUUGGAGGCUGCAACCCGCCUCCAUGAAGUUGGAAUCGCUAGUAAUCGCGGAUCAGCAUGCCGCGGUGAAUACGU